GUGCUCGCUUCAGCAGCACAUACACUAAAACUAGAAGGAAAAGGAGGAGAUCAGCAUGGCCCCUACAUAAGCAUGACACCAAACACCGAAAAUAUCUGUAUUAAAAU